rnacentral:rRNA from 1 species
AACUCAAAGGAAUUGACGGGGGCCCGCACAAGCGGUGGAGCAUGUGGUUUAAUUCGAUGCAACGCGAAGAACCUUACCUACUCUUGACAUCCAGAGAACUUAGCAGAGAUGCUUUGGUGCCUUCGGGAACUCUGAGACAGGUGCUGCAUGGCUGUCGUCAGCUCGUGUUGUGAAAUGUUGGGUUAAGUCCCGCAACGAGCGCAACCCUUAUCCUUUGUUGCCAGCGAUUCGGUCGGGAACUCAAAGGAGACUGCCGGUGAUAAACCGGAGGAAGGUGGGGAUGACGUCAAGUCAUCAUGGCCCUUACGAGUAGGGCUACACACGUGCUACAAUGGCGCAUACAAAGAGAAGCGACCUCGCGAGAGCAAGCGGACCUCAUAAAGUGCGUCGUAGUCCGGAUCGGAGUCUGCAACUCGACUCCGUGAAGUCGGAAUCGCUAGUAAUCGUGGAUCAGAAUGCCACGGUGAAUACGUUCCCGGGCCUUGUACACACCGCCCGUCACACCAUGGGAGUGGGUUGCAAAAGAAGUAGGUAGCUUAACCUUCGGGAGGGCGCUUACCACUUUGUGAUUCAUGACUGGGGUGAAGUCGUAACAAGGUAACCGUAGGGGAACCUGCGGCUGGAUCACCUCCUU